rnacentral:rRNA from 1 species
AGUUUGAUCCUGGCUCAGGACGAACGCUGGCGGCGCGCUUAACACAUGCAAGUCGAGCGAGAACCAGUCCUUCGGGACUGGGGACAGCGGCGAACGGGUGAGUAACACGUGGGUAAUCUGCCCUCGAUUCUGGGAUAGCCCGGGGAAACCCGGAUUAAUACCGGAUAGCCUCUCGAGCUUUCGAGCUCGUGAGAAAAGGUAGCUUCGGCCUCCGAUCGAGGAUGAGCCCGCGGCGGAUUAGCUUGUUGGUGGGGUAAUGGCCCACCAAGGCGACGAUCCGUAGCUGGUCUGAGAGGACGAUCAGCCACACUGGGACUGAGACACGGCCCAGACUCCUACGGGAGGCAGCAGUGGGGAAUCUUGCGCAAUGGGCGAAAGCCUGACGCAGCGACGCCGCGUGGGGGAAGAAGGCCUUCGGGUUGUAAACCUCUUUCAGCAGGGACGAAGCCACUCGGGUGAAUAGCCCAGAGGGUGACGGUACCUGCAGAAGAAGCCCCGGCUAACUACGUGCCAGCAGCCGCGGUAAUACGUAGGGGGCAAGCGUUGUCCGGAUUUAUUGGGCGUAAAGAGCGUGUAGGCGGCCAGACAGGUCCGUUGUGAAAACUAGAGGCUUAACCUCUAGACGUCGAUGGAAACCGUUUGGCUAGAGUCCGGAAGAGGAGAAUGGAAUUCCUGGUGUAGCGGUGAAAUGCGCAGAUAUCAGGAAGAACACCCGUGGCUAAGGCGGUUCUCUAGUACGGUACUGACGCUGAGACGCGAAAGCGUGGGGAGCGAACAGGAUUAGAUACCCUGGUAGUCCACGCCGUAAACGAUGGGUGCUAGGUGUGGGGGGUGUCGACUCCCCCCGUGCCGAAGCUAACGCAUUAAGCACCCCGCCUGGGGAGUACGGCCGCAAGGCUAAAACUCAAAGGAAUUGAUGG